GAUGAAGAACGUAGCAAAAUGCGAUAAGUAAUGUGAAUUGCAGAAUUCAGUGAAUCAUCGAAUCUUUGAACGCACAUUGCGCCCGCCAGUAUUCUGGCGGGCAUGCCUGUUCGAGCGUCAUUUCAACCCUCAAGCACAGCUUGGUGUUGCGACUCGCGUUAAUUCGCGUUCCCCAAAUUGAUUGGCGGUCACGUCGAGCUUCCAUAGCGUAGUAGUAAAACCCUCGUUACUGGUAAUCGUCGCGGCCACGCCGUUAAACCCCAACUUCUGAAUGUUGACCUCUGAUCAGGUAGGAAUACCCGCUGAACUUAAGCAUAUCAAUAAGCGGAGGA
rnacentral:misc_RNA from 1 species